UCUUGGCACAAACUCUCUGGGCUUCUCUGUUGUGAACACAGGAUGCCGAAGUGAGCAAGGUAUAAUCAGAGGUUGCUGUAAAUACAUCAAUGCAAAAUGUUGAUGGAGCAAGUCUCUGGCAUCGGUGAGGAAUCCGACACUGAAGAGAGAAAGGAGCCAGUGAUAUGCAGACCGCUGUGUGGUUAACUACAUCCCUAAGUUCAUAUCAUUCACAACUUUUGAAGUCAUACUUCUGAUUCCAGGGCCCAAAUCGUUUAUGUAAGUGGUGAGCAGCAGCUGGCCCCAGCACCAAUCCUUGUGGAACACUCCUUCCCACCUUUUGCUAGUCUCAAUCACUACUUUUAACCCCUGCUUUCUGGUAUGGUUUCCUGGUCAAAAAAAAUAGCAGGUAGGGGUUCUGGUGCUCUUCCCCACAGUUUUCCUUGAUUUGGCAGCUGAGAAGAUCACAACAGAUGUGCCACGACAGGACUGAAAUCUGCACUAGCUUCCUGGGAGCAUCUUUUCCAUUGUUCACUGGGCAGAGCGCUGAUGCAGAUAAGAAUUUUGCUUGCGACUGGUGAAGCCAAACUCCGUGAAAAGCAUCAAAGCGUGAAAGUUCAGUUUUUCACUUGCAGAGAUCCACUGUGUAGGCUCCUUUGAAAUCUUGCAGCACUGUUCUGAGUUCCCAGCUUUUAUUGUCGAGGGUUGGAGUUCUUAAUUUGUGGCCCCUGCGCUUGUAGAUCUCAGCAGGGAAACUAUUCAAACAGCAAAAUAAAAGCAAAAUAUGGUGGAUCGUGGAACUUGGAACUAAAAACAGAAAGUGCUGGAAAAACUCAGCAGGUCUGGCAGUAUCUCUGGAGAUAGAAACAGAAUUAACGUUUCAAGUCCAAUCUGAUUCUUCUUUGGUAUUAUUCAAGCAGACCAGAUGCCAACAAUUAAAGCAGCAAACUCAAACUAAGCUUUAACCUAUGAAGGAUAAGUGGUGGAAAAUGAAGCUCGAGUUACUACAAUCAGGCACUGACCAAAAGGACAUAAAGCGCUUCUAUGACAAGCUAAAAGAUGCACGGACUGAAAGUACAAAGUUGCUAAUUAACCAAGUAUAGUGUUUAAUUGUUCUGUGUUUCAUUAUGUGAAUCUGGUAACUGAUUGAUGCUCACUGUGUUUGAUUGAUUAAGCCUGGAUGCUGACUCAGAGCAAAGUAAACAGACACCACGGAAGCUACUAGAAGCUGAGCUGGGAGGAUGGUGUAGGCAUAUUUAAGCAUUGUAUAAAAACUCUGUAAAUAUAGUUCCUGCACUUAGAAACUAGUGUCAUCUCUACAUUGCUCUGAGGGAAUUCAAUUAUGUAAAAUGUACAACAUCAAGCAGAAAUCAUGUUACUCUGGGCCAACAUUUUAUCCAAUUCCUCAUCAGUCCUUCUGCUGUGUCUGAUGAUGUGCUAAAUGAAGUAUCACAACUGUGCAUGAGCUUGCCAUCCUCCCUCCCCAGCAAUGGCUGAAUUCCAAAUUAUGUUCUAUCAAAUGUCAGGUGGAAAAGCAAGUGGAUUUGGAUUGUUCAAUUUCAUUAGUGGGUUGUAGAUUACUGAUGAAAUAGAAGAAAUAUCCCAUUUUCAUUAAAGAAAGAAAUGAAACCUC